GGCUUCGUGGUGUAGCGGUAACAUGUCCUCUGUUGAUAGCUCCAUGGUACUGGUAUUUGAGGAAGUCCCUUGUUCAAAUCAAGGUGAGGCCU